rnacentral:rRNA from 1 species
CUACGUGCCAGCAGCCGCGGUAAUACGGAAGGUCCGGGCGUUAUCCGGAUUUAUUGGGUUUAAAGGGAGUGUAGGCGGUUUGUUAAGCGUGUUGUGAAAUUUAGGUGCUCAACAUUUAACUUGCAGCGCGAACUGUCAGACUUGAGUACACGCAACGUAUGCGGAAUUCAUGGUGUAGCGGUGAAAUGCUUAGAUAUCAUGAAGAACUCCGAUUGCGAAGGCAGCAUACGGGAGUGUAACUGACGCUUAAGCUCGAAGGUGCGGGUAUCGAACAGGAUUAGAUACCCUGGUAGUCCGCACAGUAAACGAUGGAUGCCCGCUGUUAGCGCCUGGCGUUAGCGGCUAAGCGAAAGCAUUAAGCAUCCCACCUGGGGAGUACGCCGGCAACGGUGAAACUCAAAGGAAUUGACGGGGGCCCGCACAAGCGGUGGAGCAUGUGGUUUAAUUCGAAGCAACGCGAAGAACCUUACCAGGUCUUGACAU